rnacentral:misc_RNA from 1 species
GGGGAAGGAUGAUAAAGGAUACAAGAUACCGAAAGGAGGCCUUUUCGGACUGGCGAUCUGUGCACACUAUUUGUUCGAGAUAAUCGGUUUCGUAGGAGUCUCUUUCAUCGCACAGACAGUGUAUGCAGUCUCGUUCACGUUGGGCACCAUGUUCUAUCUGAUGGGCAGGAGUUAUGCGACUAGGAAUUGGUAUCUCUCCAAGUUUGAAGAUUUUCCAGUGAAAGUCAAGGCCUUGAUACCCUACAUUUUCUGAUAACAGGGAUUCUUUCUUCUGUUUAGAAGUGAAUACUGCCUGAUAAAUAGGUAUAUGUUUCUGGAUUUCGACAAAAUUUUCCGUGAAAGUCAAGGCCUUGAUACCCUACAUUUUCUGAUAACAGGGAUUCUUUCUUCUGUUUAGAAGUGAAUACUGCCUGAUAAAUAGGUAUAUGUUUCUGGAUUUCGACAAAAUUUUCC